AAUGAACGCUGGCGGCGUGCUUAACACAUGCAAGUCGAGCGUGAAAGUCCUUCGGGAUGAGUAAAGCGGCGAACGGGUGAGUAAUGCGUAAGAAUCUGCCCUUUAGUGAGGAAUACCUUCGAGAAAUUGAAGUUAAUACUGCAUACGUCUCUAACGAGAGAAAGGUGGCUUUAUGCUGCCGCUGAAGGAUGAGCUUGCGUGCUAUUAGCUAGUUGGUAGGGUAAAGGCCUACCAAGGCAAAGAUGGCUAACCGGCCUGAGAGGGUGUACGGUCACACUGGAACUGAGACACGGUCCAGACUCCUACGGGAGGCAGCAGUGAGGAAUAUUGCGCAAUGGGCGAAAGCCUGACGCAGCGACGCCGCGUGGAGGAUGAAGGUCUUUGGAUUGUAAACUUCUGUUAAGCGGGAAGAAAUGCCGUUUUUUAAUAGAAGACGGCGAUGACGGUACCGCUAGAGAAAGCACCGGCUAACUUCGUGCCAGCAGCCGCGGUAAUAC
rnacentral:rRNA from 1 species